UACGUAGGAUGCAAGCGUUGUUCGGAAUUACUGGGCGUAAAGAGUACGUAGGCGGUUUGAUAAGGCUGCUAUUAAAGACUGGAGCUUAACUCCAGGACUGUAGUGGAAACUGUCAGACUAGAGGACAAUAGAGGAAGUCGGAAUUCUCAGUGUAGCGGUGAAAUGCGUAGAUAUUGGGAAGAACACCAGUGGCGAAAGCGGACUUCUGGGUUGUUACUGACGCUGAGGUACGAAAGCGUGGGGAGCAAACGGG
rnacentral:rRNA from 1 species